rnacentral:rRNA from 1 species
AACGAACGCUGGCGGCAGGCCUAACACAUGCAAGUCGAACGCCCCGCAAGGGGAGUGGCAGACGGGUGAGUAACGCGUGGGAACCUACCUAGAGGUGCGGAAUAGCCCAGGGAAACUUGGAGUAAUACCGCAUAAGCCCGCAAGGGGAAAGAUUUAUCGCCUUUAGAUGGGCCCGCGUCUGAUUAGCUAGUUGGUGAGGUAAUGGCUCACCAAGGCGACGAUCAGUAGCUGGGUUUGAGAGAAUGACCAGCCACACUGGGACUGAGACACGGCCCAGACUCCUACGGGAGGCAGCAGUGGGGAAUCUUGGACAAUGGGGGCAACCCUGAUCCAGCCAUGCCGCGUGAGUGACGAAGGCCUUAGGGUUGUAAAGCUCUUUUGGCGGGGACGAUAAUGACGGUACCCGCAGAAUAAGUCCCGGCUAACUUCGUG